rnacentral:SRP_RNA from 2 species
GCUGGGCAUGGUGGUGCACGCCUGUAAUCCCAGCUACUCGGGAGGCUGAGGCAGGAGAAUCACUUGAACCCAGGAGGUGGAGGUUGCAGUGAGCCGAGAUGGUGCCACUGCACUCCAGCCUGGGCGACAGAGCGAGACCCUGUCUCAA